AUGGGUCAGGGAGCCUGCAGACGGUCAGACUUCCGGUGCUUGCAGGGCGCCCAUGGUCAGGGGCAGAGAACGCGUGUGCUGGUGUGUGGAGGUCCGGGAGCCACACUGCCCCGGGCACGUCAGUACCGGAAGGAAAGAAAAGCCUCCAAUAGUGCAAUGGGGAGAAGACACAAGAAACUGCCAAAUGCUAACCAGGCUCAGCUCCUGCCCAAAGGCUAUCACCCAGCUAAGAAGGUGGUGAUCCCGUGCUCUCCACACCGCAGCAUAUCACUAUGCCCUCAAGAUUACCAGUCUCGCUCUGCACUGAUGCCUCGUCUCAACCAUCAGAGCAGAACCAAGGGGUCAUCGCGUCCUGACCAUAAGACCUCAGCGACCUUCUCUCGGAACCCCAAACUUGGGUCUGAGCCUGCUCAGUUACCUCAGGCUGUCCAACAGGCUGGAGUCAUGCCACGGCACCAAGGCAACCACCAGGCCCCAAUCACCCCGGCAACAGGCACUGCAGUUUUGACCUUGCCCUGUCCUGACUCCUGGGCCAGGGUAUCUGCUCCACCUUUCCCACACUCCGAAUGCCCAGCAGCACUUCCACUGGGCUCUAACCACCAUGUGGAGACGCCAUCCGCCCCCGAUCAUUUUGUAAAACCUCCAUCAGAUUCUGACCACCUUCCAAUGAUUUCCAAUGGCUGUGACCAUCGAGCAGAGGAUCAAUCAUGUCCAGAUCACAAGCCCAAGACCAUGCCUGUGCCAACACUAAACCACAACUUCCAGCCCUCCGCUGUACUAUUACAACGGCCUAGUCCAUGGACAUCAGCUUCACAAGGGAGCAGGUCUCGGCCCAAGAUAGCAUCUUCCCUAGAGAGGUACCUCAACCACUGGCACAGGGCCAUAUUUUCCCCAUUAACAUGUGCUGAUUGGCCUGGAGCUACACCAUCAGAUCCUGAUCCUUGUGUCAAAGGAAUCACUUCAAGAACCUCAUGUCCUGACCAGUUUUUAAGGCCCAAAACUGCACUGUUACGGCAUCCUGAACACAACCCCUGGAUCCUCAAGGCUCCCACUUCAUCGUGCUCCAUUCAACAGGUCAGAACCACAUCUGUGCCAUCACCAUGCCCUAACAACAGGGAAAUUACCACCACAUUUGUACCCGUCCAAUUCCCUGCUAGCCCAGCUGAGAAUCCACCAGGCCUUCAUUUUGAAGCUCAGGAUUCUACUAUACCAUCAGCAGUACAACCUGACCUCCAGGAUAUACCUCUACCAAACCUCAGUGGCACUACAGAAGCUCCUCUGAUCAUUCCGAAUCACUUACAAAAUAAAGAGCCUUCUUGUAAUUCUGCACACCAGGCCAAGACUCUUCUCAAUUCUGACCACUGGCCUAUGGUUUUACCACACCUCAAUUGCUGGGCUACACCACAAUCAUCUCCUGACCAGUCAGUUGUCCAAUACAUAGACCACCAAACAAAACCACCACUGAGACCUGACAGGCACAAGCUUGUGGCUCCACCAAGUCCUGACACAAUCUUUACUGAGAGUCUUUCUCCUCUCAAAAUUUGGGCUAUGCCUCUACCAGACUCUGAACAUGAGAUGGAGGUUCUCCCAACUGCCAACAAACUGGCUAGACCUCCAGCUGUCCCCAACCAAUGGCUUAAAGCUAUGUCAGGUCCUAAUGCUUGGGAAGAGGUGUCAAUGGAUUGUAAUCAUUGCAUAAAAGCUCCAUUAGAUACUUACCAAGAAAAGAUAGAAUCAGAUCCCAAUCAUUGUGCCAAGGCUCCACUAGAUACUUACCAACAAGGUAAGAUAGCAUCACAUCCCAAUGAUUGGGCCCAAGCUCCAUUAGAUUUUUACAAACACGAGGAGAUGGCAUCCCAUCCCAGACACUGGGACAAUGCUGCCUUGCAGUCAGAUUGCAGAGUCACGGCUCUACAAAGCCCUCACUGCCAAGACCAGAUUCCACCAGACAAAGAGCACCAGGCUGAUGCUGUUUCUACUGAACAUUGUGACAACACUGUUAUGGUUCUUGAUAACUGGGUCACGACUCUAUCAGACACUGACCAACAAGUGGAGAUUGAAUCUGACGCCAUCCACUGGGGCAAGGCUACAGUGGAUCCACACCACAAUUCCAUAGGACCACUGAGUCCUGAUAACCAGACCCUAAUUUCACCAGAUGUUGGGCUUCAGAAUGAGGAUAUACCAGAUCUAGAACAUCAAAAUGGCACCAAAAUAGUCCAAGACAUGAUCACCAAGUCUCUCCCAGCUUCUUGCCAUUGGGUUGAGGCUAUACCAGAUCCCAAACAUUAUAUCACACCAGUAGACCUACACUAUGAAACCAAGACUAAAAUUGGGCUCAAGAAUACUAUCAUGGAUACACCAGGUCAUGAUCAUGCAGUUGUACUUCCAGUUAUUCCUGAACACCAAAAUGAGGACAUACUAAAGUUCUGCCAUCAGAAAGAUGCUGAAUCCUUACUAGAUCUGGAUUAUGAGUCCAAAUUUGUAAGUGACCAAGAAUCCAUAGACAUUUUGGACUCAGACCAUCAGUCUAAAGCUCAGGAGGUUCCAGUCUAUGGGGCCCUACUUCCUCUGAUACCGGACUGCCAGGAAGAAAAUUUAUCAGACUACAAUGACCAGGAUGAUGAUGUACUAUUACUUCCAAGCUCUGAUACAGAAACUCUACCUCCAUCAGAUCUGGACAAUGAUGGUAAGAUUCCACUGAGGACAAACUAUCAGUCUAACAUACUCCCAGCCUUUGAUCAUCAGACUGAAGAGGCACUGGAUGCCCCAAACCAGGUAACUCUUCCCUCCAUCCUGGAUAAGGAUUUUGAGAUUUUAUUGAAUUCUGAUAAUUGUAACAAAACUCUCUUAUUUUCCCAACACCAAACUAUGCUGUCACCUGACAAACCAAAAUUAAGACAGCCUUCAUCAUGCUCUGAAAAAGGAAGAUUCUGGACACAGUAG
rnacentral:lncRNA from 1 species